GAUCCUGGCUCAGGACGAACGCUGGCGGCGUGCUUAACACAUGCAAGUCGAGCGGUAAGGCCCUUCGGGUACACGAGCGGCGAACGGGUGAGUAACACGUGAGCAAUCUGCCCAUCACAUCGGGAUAACUCCGGGAAACCGGUGCUAAUACCGAAUAUGACCACUUCAGGCAUCUGACGGUGGUGGAAAGUUCCGGCGGUGAUGGAUGAGCUCGCGGCCUAUCAGCUUGUUGGUGGGGUAA
rnacentral:rRNA from 1 species